ncrna:Ciona savignyi microRNA csa-mir-219 precursor
CUGUUUCAUGAUUGUCCAAACGCAAUACAGGUGUUACAAUAAAUUCUGUGUUUUCGUAUGGACAUCGUAAUACAG